rnacentral:rRNA from 1 species
CAGUCGCCACGGGAAUACGUAGGUGGCAAGCGUUGUCCGGAAUUAUUGGGCGUAAAGGGCUCGCAGGCGGUUUCUUAAGUCUGAUGUGAAAGCCCCCGGCUCAACCGGGGAGGGUCAUUGGAAACUGGGAAACUUGAGUGCAGAAGAGGAGAGUGGAAUUCCACGUGUAGCGAUGAAAUGCGUAGAGAUGUGGAGGAACACCAGUGGCGAAGGCGACUCUCUGGUCUGUAACUGACGCUGAGGAGCGAAAGCGUGGGGAGCGAACAGGAUUAGAUACCCCAGUAGUCCCUGUCUCUUAUAC